UACGUAGGUGACCAGCGUUGUCCGGAUUUACUGGGCGUAAAGAGCGCGCAGGCGGUCGUUCAAGUCGAGUGUGAAAGCCCACGGCUCAACCGUGGAGGGUCAUUGGAAACUGGGGGACUUGAGUGCAGAAGAGGAAAGCGGAAUUCCACGUGUAGCGGUGAAAUGCGUAGAGAUGUGGAGGAACACCAGUGGCGAAGGCGGCUUUCUGGUCUGUAACUGACGCUGAGGCGCGAAAGCGUGGGGAGCAAACAGG
rnacentral:rRNA from 1 species